GCAAGUUUGGAGGUAAGAAGUUGCUCUGGCUUUUUGAGUUGCCAAAAUUUUUGCAUUAGUUCUUUCUCAUCUUUGUGGGCUGUUUCUUUAGUCUUUGAUGUUGGUGUCCUUUGGAUGGGGAUUUUUACUAUUAUACUCUUUGAGGCCCUUGAGGGUUUGAUUGCAGUAUAAGUUGGGUUCAGUCAACAGGCUUUAUUUCUGGAUGAUUUCAGAAGAUCUGGGCUCAACUCAGCACUCCUGGCCUGCAUGCUCUAACUCUGAGGAGCUGGAACCAGGCUUACAGCUUUGUUCUCUGGCCCCUCUAGGUUAAGCACUUGCUGCACUGGAGGAGCCAAGGUAUUUCCAGUGUGCCUGCAACAACACCCUGAUGGGGGUGCCAGCAAAAGCACUUCAUUGGGUUGGUGAGGUCCACGUGUGCACACAUGCCAUCAAAGUGGUGGGAAAAGGCUAUGGGCAAGUGUGUGCCAUCGAAGGAGUGGGGGAGACUGUGAAUGUGUGUACAUUGGUGAGGGCCCAUCUGCUGAAGCUCCUUGAUGGUUAGACAGGGUCUGCCAGCAGAAGAGGUAUGGUAGUGGCCACCGGGAAGCACCCGCAUUGGGCAUUUGAGGCUGCACUAUGAGCAGGUGCCACCAGGAAGGGACCCCAGGAAAGGUGGGCAGACAGGGGAGCACUCAGAUUAGACUGGCUUUAUCCCACAGGUAAGACACCCCUACUCUGUCCAGACCCAACUGUCAACAGAAGCCAAAGCCAUCUGGAGGAGCAUGCAACAACAAGAAACAAAUUUAUUAGCUAACCUAACCACUAAUGACGCAAGAGACAAUUCUAAGGACUUUCAAAACAGCAAAGUAGGAGCAGCUGCUACCUCUAGGGAUGAGGGAGAAACUCAAAAAUGCAUACAAAAACCAUUGCAUGAAAAGUGACUGGAUUUGUACAUAGCGUCAGGAGAUGUGCGUAGUGUCAAAGUAUCUCAUCACACAUUACUUGAUAAUUACAAAUGAGAAAAAUGAACCUUCACAGUGGCAAGACUUGACUUCUACCUCUUUCAAAAAGAUGCAAUUGUCCAAUUAUUGGUGAAAUUGUCAUUUCAUGCUAUUGGCUAUUUGAAAUUCCUCCUCUAAUUUCAGAAUAAAUCACUGAAAUUGACAUCGGCCAGUCUGAAUUUCAAGAAAUUACCUGCUGAAGACAAGAGGGAUCUCUUCUUCAGAUUUGCAGUCUGGGGAAGACACAGCCUCUACUGUACUUUAGAACCUGAGAUAUGGUGGUGGAGGGAGCCCUGGGUCGAGUGGUAAGAUUCACCCUUAGGUUAGUAUUGACGUAAGGUGACGAGGAGCUGUAGACAAAAGAUUGUAACCAUAAGAACUUCAUAGUUUUUGUAUUUUCACCGAGCUUAUAUUUGGUGUGUUUUUUGUCUUUUCUUUAUGAUUAUCAAUAAAAUGC
ensembl:lncRNA LINC00470 long intergenic non-protein coding RNA 470